CUAAGAAUCUUCCGCAAUGGGCGCAAGCCUGACGGAGCGACGCCGCGUGGAUGACGAAGGCCCUAUGGGUUGUAAAAUCCUUUUCUAUAGGACGAAAGUAUGUUUUAAUAUGCUGACGGUACUAUAGGAAUAAGCCACGGCUAAUUACGUGCCAGCAGCCGCGGUAAUACGUAAGUGGCGAGCGUUGUUCGGAUUUAUUGGGCGUAAAGGGUGCGUAGGUGGAUUGCUAAGUUGGAUGUGCAAAUUCGGAACUCAAUUUCGAACCUGCGUCCAAAACUGGUUUUCUUGAGGUGGGCAGAGGUUAGCGGAAUUUCUGGUGUAGGAGUGAAAUCUAUAGAUAUCAGAAAGAACACCGAUGGCGAAGGCAGCUAACUGGGCUUUACCUGACACUGAAGCACGAAAGCUAGGGGAGCGAACG
rnacentral:rRNA from 1 species